rnacentral:piRNA from 1 species
AUGAAGAGGAGAAACUAGCUGCAGUGCA